ensembl:antisense 1500015A07Rik RIKEN cDNA 1500015A07 gene
UUAAUAUUCAGCUCUGUAAGUUCCUGUGCCGUCUACUUUUAUGUCAACUGAACACAAGCUUCUGAGAGGAGGAGUCAACUGAGAAAAUGCCUCUAUAAGAUCAGGCUGCAGACCGAGGGCCGGACCCCCGGCCAGGGACUGCUGCAAGCGCUCCUUCACAGCUACCAGCUUGAGCUCCAGGUCGAUCCUCUGCUCUUCCUUGGCACGGCAUUGAGCUUCCAGAGUGGCCACGGCCUCUUCCAAGGCCUUCGACUUUGCUCCUGAGUCCAGAGACACGGAUGAGAAAGUCUGCGGGGCUAAAGGCCCCACUCCACCCCCCCCCCGCCCCUUGCUGGAGUGUCCAGAAGGACUGGGUGAAGGCUUGUACUGCAGCCACUAUGUCACCACAAAGAGAAAGAGAAUAAAGUCACAUUUCUCUGUA